rnacentral:rRNA from 1 species
GCAAGUCGAGCGGUAAGCUAACUUCGGUUAGACUAGAGCGGCGGACGGGUGAGUAAAACGUGGAUAAUAUACCUCCUUGUUUGGGAUAGCUUGUGGAAACAUAAGGUAAUACCGAAUGAGAUUUAUGAGUCAAAAGGCUUUUGAAGGAAAGGCGCUGAGGCGUCGCAAGAGGAUGAGUCCGCGGCCGAUUAGCUAGACGGCAGGUUAAAAGCCUACCGUGGCGAUGAUGGAUAGCCGGCCUGAGAGGAUGAUC